rnacentral:rRNA from 1 species
AUACGGAGGAUCCGAGUGUUAUCCGGAUUUAUUGGGUUUAAAGGGUGCGCAGGCGGAAGAUUAAGUCGGCGGUGAAAUUUUGCAGCUCAACUGUAAAAGUGCCUUCGAAACUGGUUUUCUUGAGUGUAGAUGAAGUAGGCGGAAUUUGUGGUGUAGCGGUGAAAUGCUUAGAUAUCACGAGGAACUCCGAUUGCGCAGGCAGCUUACUAAACUACUACUGACGCUCAGGCACGAAGGCGUGGGGAUC